GAUGAACGCUGGCGGCGUGCCUAAUACAUGCAAGUCGAGCGAACAGACGAGGAGCUUGCUCCUCUGACGUUAGCGGCGGACGGGUGAGUAACACGUGGAUAACCUACCUAUAAGACUGGGAUAACUUCGGGAAACCGGAGCUAAUACCGGAUAAUAUAUUGAACCGCAUGGUUCAAUAGUGAAAGACGGUUUUGCUGUCACUUAUAGAUGGAUCCGCGCCGCAUUAGCUAGUUGGUAAGGUAACGGCUUACCAAGGCGACGAUGCGUAGCCGACCUGAGAGGGUGAUCGGCCACACUGGAACUGAGACACGGUCCAGACUCCUACGGGAGGCAGCAGUAGGGAAUCUUCCGCAAUGGGCGAAAGCCUGACGGAGCAACGCCGCGUGAGUGAUGAAGGUCUUCGGAUCGUAAAACUCUGUUAUUAGAGAAGAACAAAUGUGUAAGUAACUAUGCACGUCUUGACGGUACCUAAUCAGAAAGCCACGGCUAACUACGUG
rnacentral:rRNA from 1 species